UUAAAUUUUAUUUAUUAAAACAUUUUUUUUUUUAUUAUAAAUUAUUAAAAAUAAUUAUUAUAAGAAUUGUUUAAGUAUUUUAUAAAGAAAAAAUAAUUUUAAUUAUAGUUAAAUAGUAUUGUGAAAGAAAAUUGAAAUAAUUUGAAAAAUUAAUAUUUUAAAAGAAAAUUUAAUUUAUUGUACCUUGUGUAUCAGGGUUUAUUAAAUAAAGAUUAUUUAUGAUAAUUUUUUCGAUUUUAAAAGAGUUAAUAUAUUAUAAAAGUUAAUGUAAUAAAAUUAUUUUGUAUAAUAUAUUAGAAAUGAAAUGUUAUUCGUUUUUAAAGGUAUCUAGUUCUUUAAGAAAUAAAUUUAAUUUAGAAAUUUUAUAUUAUUUAAUUAAAUAUAUUAAUUAAAUAAUUAUUUUAUUUUAAUAUUUUAUGGGAUAAGCUAUGAAAUAAAUUAUUAAAAGUUAUUAAAUAAUUUAAUAAAUGUAAGCUUAGAAGUAGUUAUUAUUAAUAAAAUUGUUAUAAUUUAUUUUAUUAUAUUGAUUAUUUAUUGAAUUUUAAUUAUGUAUUAAAGUAUUUAUUUUAAUUAAAAAAAUAAAAAAAAAAUGAUAAAAUUAGUAUAUUAUAUUGUAUAAAUAAGAUUUAAUGAUAAGUUUUUAUAAAGAAUUCGGCAAAAAUAAUAUUCGCCUGUUUAACAAAAACAUGUCUUUUUGAAUUUUUUUAAAAGUCUAACCUGCCCACUGAUUGUUUUAAAUGGCCGCAGUAUACUAACUGUGCAAAGGUAGCAUAAUCAUUAGUCUUUUAAUUGAAGGCUGGUAUGAAUGGUUGGACGAGAUAUUAACUGUUUCAUAAAAAUUUAUAAUAAAAUUUUAUUUUUUAGUUAAAAAGCUAAAAUAAAAUUAAAAGACGAGAAGACCCUAUAAAUCUUUAUAUAUAAAUUAUUAGAAUUUUGUAGAUUAAUUUUAUUAUAAUAGUUGAUUAUAUUUUAUUGGGGUGAUAUUAAAAUUUAAUAAACUUUUAAUUUUUUUUGUCAUUAAUUUAUGCAUAAUUGAUCCAUUAAUAGUGAUUAAAAAAAUAAGUUACUUUAGGGAUAACAGCGUAAUUUUUUUGGAGAGUUCAUAUCGAUAAAAAAGAUUGCGACCUCGAUGUUGGAUUAAGAUAUAAUUUUAGGUGUAGUCGCUUAAAUUUUGAGUCUGUUCGACUUUUAAAUUCUUACAUGAUCUGAGUUCAAACCGGUGUAAGCCAGGUUGGUUUCUAUCUUUAAUAAAUUAAAAUAUUUCAGUACGAAAGGACCUAAUAUUUAAUAAAUAAUUAUUUUUAUAUUGAAUAUAAAUAAUUUAU
rnacentral:rRNA from 1 species